CCUACGGGUGGCAGCAGUGGGGAAUAUUGCACAAUGGGGGGAACCCUGAUGCAGCGACGCCGCGUGAGCGAUGAAGUAUUUCGGUAUGUAAAGCUCUAUCAGCAGGGAAGAAAAUGACGGUACCUGACUAAAAAGCCCCGGCUAACUACGUGCCAGCAGCCGCGGUAAUACGUAGGGGGCAAGCGUUAUUCGGAUGUACUGGGUGUAAAGGGGGCGUAGACGGCUGUGCAAGUCUGGAGUGAAAGGCAUGGGCGCAACCUGUGGACUGCUUUGGAAACUGUGCGGCUAGAGUGUCGGAGAGGCAAGUGGAAUUCCUAGUGUAGCGGUGAAAUGCGUAGAUAUUAGGAGGAACACCAGUGGCGAAGGCGGCUUGCUGGACGAUGACUGACGUUGAGGCUCGAAGGCGUGGGGAGCAAACAGGAUUAGAUACCCUUGUAGUC
rnacentral:rRNA from 1 species